AGAUAGAUAGAUAGAUAGUCAUUUUUUAUUAAUAUUGUUACUAUUAUAAUUCAUCCAUUCACUUUCCGAGCCGCUUAUCCUCACUGGGUUCGCGGGAGCUGUCAUCGGGCAGGGCGCUAGGGUACAUGCUUAAUUGGUUGCCAGCCAAUCGCAGUUAUUAAUAAUACAUUUUUUUUAUAAUUACUUUAGCAAAUGAAUGAAUGAAAAGUCCGGGUUUAAAAUACCGCACGUAAGAAGUUUAACUUAUUACUUGUGGCCUUUCUCCUUGAAUGGACGAGCGGGACAUUCUGCGCAUGCGCACUGAUCCUCUUCAGUCUCCUUGAAGGUCUCUCUCUUUUUUCUCUCUCUCUCUCUCUCGCCCCCCCCCCCCUCCUUCCCCCCGUUCUCUCUCUCGGGUUGGGAAAAACCCGUGCGAGAGGAGAACCGGUAGCGAGGAAGAGGGCUUGUUCCGACACGGAAGCUGACACAUUUUAAAUUAAAUAAAAACAAAUCAGGAAAUGGGAAAGGUAUAAAAAAAAAAAAAAGUCCACUCGCGCCGCGGAAGAGGAGAAGGAAAAAGGCGGAUGUGGCUCCGACUGCGCCGCGGAUGUCGCCCUCCGGACCUCCUUAAUGCCAAGAUUUACACAGGUCCGAUUCCGGCCGAGGGAGAGGGUGAGCUGGCCAUGGGAGUGGGUCGCGGUGAAAGCUCUCCGCUGAGCGAGCCAGUGGGACAAAGCCUCAACACAACCAAAAAUUCCCAGCGACCUAGCGCUUGCUGCUUCUGCUGGUGCUGCUGUUGUAGCUGCUCAUGUCUUAACAUCAGGAAUGAAGAUGAGAGGAGGCGACGUACGAGGAAGAGGAUAUCACAGGACAACAAGAUGGAAACCAUUCCAAACUGUGAAGCUUGCACCAAACCCUCAGUAGAGGAAAUGCAGCUCUGGUCUCAAUCUUUCGACAAGCUGAUGAGGAACCCGGCAGGUCGCAAUGUUUUUCGUGAGUUUUUGCGCACAGAAUACAGUGAGGAGAACAUGCUGUUCUGGCUGGCCUGUGAAGAUCUCAAACAGGAAAUGAACAAGAACAUCAUUGAGGAGAAAGUGCGAUCCAUCUACGAGGACUACAUUUCCAUACUGUCCCCAAAAGAGGUGAGUCUGGACGCUCGCGUACGGGAGGUGAUCAACAGGAAGAUGGAGGAACCGACACCUCAAACUUUCGAGGACGCCCAGUUGCAGAUCUACACACUGAUGCACAGGGACUCCUACCCACGAUUCCUCUCCUCCAACAUCUACAAAUCACUCUUUCACAGCAACUCACGGAGCUCUUCGGAGUCCUAGUCCAGCACUGUGUGUCACGCUUCCCUUCCAACCAUUUCAUAUCCCUAUGGAUGAUGCUGCCCUUACCCCAAAUCUAUGCCAUGACUGCCAAGACUUGACAGAGUGGCCAAGACACCUCAAGUCCACCUCUGUCCCAUCCACCCUCUUUUGCAUUUCCCCUUUUUCACAUUCCCAUCUUCCUUUUUAGUCAGUCCCUUCAUGAUCUUAUGUGAAAGACAAAUCCAAACCAGAGGAACUCUCACAAAACCUUCAACAAUUGGUUGAUAAGGCCAGAGAGCAUUAAGUCUAACCACGUUACACAACCUCUGCCCACUCUACUUGUGGGAAGUCCUUAUAUGAUUCUUUGAUCAAUUUGAGCAAGAUGCUUCUUUUUCAUGUUUUAGAACUGGAAUUGACCACUGCUUGUAGGUGAUGGCCCAUUGGCAUCUGACACACUUUUUAUACUCUUUAUAAAUGGUACAGAACUUGUUUAGUCGAUCCGGAUGAAGUAGUCCUUCAUAUUUCCGUGUUUGAAUCAAGAGGACAGCAUGUCUCAAAUGAAGAAGUUUCUUACUUCGUUGAGCUGAAACUGAAGAAUUCUGCCUUACACUGCACUGACUCACUGUCUCCAACCAGUGGACUAAAGUUGUAUUUACAAGAGAAGACCCACCAGCGCUACCGUAGCUUAAUGAGGCUAUAAUGAAUGUCAUGACAAUGCGUACUGUAGCUGAAAGUACCCCAAGACACGAAGUAUUAAUGUAGUACAAUACUAGCAUUAUAGUAUUUAAAUUUAGAAUGGGUAUUAUUCACUAUGGGCAGCAUUGUGGUUUAGCGGUUAGCACGCCUGCCUCACAGUUGUGAUGUUUGCCAAUGGAAUCUCAGCCCUGGCCUUCCUGUGUUGCAUUUGUGUGUUUUCUCCGAUUACUACAGUUUUUUCCUCCCUUUCAAAAAAGAUACAUUAGAUUCAUUGGAGUUUCUGAAUUAGUGGAUUUUAAAUGGAGCCUUCUAUUCCAAUUCUAAUUGGUUUAGAAGCCCAAACUGAGUGAAAAUGCUCCAUACGAACAGUUGGAAUAAACCGACCAAAUCCAAGUAAACUAUCAUUAAUUUUCAAGUGGGUGGAAGAUUCCUUUCGCCAAAACCCAUAAGAAUUGAAGUUUCAUCUGUAAAACGUGAAUCGGAAAGGAGCUUGAGAGGCUUGCUCUGUCUUGACGUAAAUAUGCGGUGACGUCAUCGUUUACACGCGUAAAAAAGGCCUUCCGACCAGAGUUCUUAGGCAGUGGAGAUCUUUUUAACUCCAUGGAACUGGAUUUGAUCAAGAUGUUGUUUUAAUAAAAGUCAUCCCAACUGCUGUGCUUAAAUAGACGACGGAUGUCCCUCUCGAUAAAUGAUACGAUAUUCACGACAAAGUGCGGGUCAUGCAGGGCUGCUCUGAUUCAAAAUAGUGCACAUCAUCGAUCGGAAUAGAUCACGUUGACCGAAGAUCUUUAACGGGAGUGAAUUCAAUCGGAACGGUAAAAGAUUUGUACCUAAUUCUGGUUCUCGUCCGUAGAUGAUCAAGUCAGUGUGAAUGGUUGUUUGUCUGCGUGUGCCCUGUGAUUGGCUGGUGACCAGUCCCGGGUGUAUCCUGCCUCUUGCCCCAAGUCAGCUGGGAUAAGGUCCAGCUCAGCCGCACCUCAAAUGAGGACCAUCGUGAUGGAAAAGAGAUUAACGGGAUUUUAUCAUCUUUUGACCCCCUUUGCAACUGGAAAGCACAGGACCAUUCCUACAAACUGGAUCUACUCACUGCUGUGAUGGACUAAUGCUGACUACUGAUUUUAAACUCAAAACAAGAGGAGUCAUUGGGGUUUUUGUUUUUUGUUGUUUUUCCUAGAAACUGUACGAAUGACUUUUUAAACCACUGGACAUUCAUUUGAAUUUGUUUCCUGGUGUCUCACACUUUUCACACUCUGGGAUUUUUUUUUUUUUUUUUUAAGAAAAAAAAGAGGACAAUCCUUUGUGGACUCAACUGAGCCAACACGGUGCAACACACACGCUGCAAUAAAAACUGGAGUUCACACAUGUGCCGCAUGCACACAGACACACCAUAUUCAUAUCAAAGAAGAUACAACAUUUUGCUUUUCAGCAAGACUAAUAUAAAACUGAACUUGUGUUCAGUACAACUCUGCUGAUGUUGAAAUUAUAUAUAUAUAUAAAUGUAUAGUUUUUGCUCCAAAAUCUUAAGUGGGGUGAUUCAGAUCCACAUAUAGUAUUUACAUCACCAUACUUUAGGAGACUUGAGGAUAGUUUAUUUAUUUAUUUAUAAAUAUAUCGGAACCUCUUUGCUCAAACACAAUCUGUUCUGUGAUCCCGGUUAACCUCGUAUUAGUUUUACAGUGGAAAAUAAUAUUUCCAUCGUAAAACCUCGAUCAACUGUACGACCAAGUGUCAGUUAAUAGUUGAACCGCACAACGUUAACAGAUGAAUUACAAUUCUGAAUUAUAAAUAAAGUGGGUCAUUAGCAUUAGCGACACACACAGAAAAGAAAAAAGCUAAGCAUUGUAAAAUGUAAAAUCAUCUCUGCCUUAACUUUGGUAACAAACGACUGGUUGAUUAUUUACAAUGACGCUGGAAUCUGAGGCCAACUUGACAAUUGUUUAUAAAAUUUUCUACAUUCUUUUUUCUCAUGUUUCUACUUCUUUUGAGCCUCCUUGGGUAGGCUGCCCCCCCCCCUUUUUUUUUCUGAAUAAUUGUCCCAAUGAAAGCCAAAUGAACAACACGCAGUGAAUCCUCUGACGCGCACUGAAACGAUCUUAAGUCGGCGUCUUGCGAUGAAUUCUAGAAUGGGGUUUGAAUUUUGACGACAUUCAACUUGAGCGAUUCCUCUGUUUUGAUUUGUGUCCGAAGCCCAGCACAUAUGUCAGUGUUACAUGUUAAGUGUUUUCGUAUGUUCCACGUGAUUACUGAAAUAUUUCUCAGCAGCCUGAAGUCAAAUUGUCUUUUAGUUUUAAGUAUUUGUUAGUAUAGUGAUGCAAAAAAAACAAAAGUGGACAACACCAGGGUGGCCUACCUGGUUGCUGCUGCUGUCCCCCCCUCGUUACUUUUUACCAGUGACCUCGCCACUGUUUGCCGCCGGCUCCUAAUUGGCUGCCUGCGGGCUCAACUGGGGUCGAUCGAUUCAGGUGCACAACUUCAACAUUUGUUAACAGUUGGAAAAUAUAAUCUACCGUACAAGAGCUGUAUCAAAUAUUGUGCCUUUACAAAGAUAGGAAUGCUCAGUUUUGUCAAUGAGGUAUUGAUUUAGCAAUUGAAAAUCUAAUGGUGUGUCCAUACUUCUCUUACCUCGUUAAGACGUGGCUCUCUGGGAGCAUUUUUACCUUUGUAAACCAGAAUUUUGAAUAUGGUGUAUGUAUAUUAUGCAGUAUUGUGCCAAUGGCCGUAAUGCUCGGGCUGCUCGGUGACGCUUCGUAGAAACAGUCGAGGCAAAAAUUGAAAAGGGCCAUUUCUAACCAACCUGGCCGCUAAAUGGAUUUAUCUUGCUAUUGUUCAUGUUAUUUAUUUUAUAUUUUAUUUCAAAACUGUGAUUUUAUUUGUACAUAUAUAAACUGAAAGCCUUGGAACAUCCAGCUGCAUUGUUUUUUGUUUGUUUUUUGGGGGUGUCAGGGUCUUGUUCGGUUUUGUGAUUCUGUCUUUUGUCCAUUUCUCUUUUGUGGGUUAUGAAAGAAACACGAUCAAAGUUAGUGUCAUGACCAGAACACGAGAUUGAACCCAAAUGCACGACUCACGAGACUUUGGAGCAAUUCGGGAAGCGUCUUUGUACAGUCCGACGUUAAAAUACCAGCAAGCAGUCCACGGGGCCAACAAUAGUAGAAUCAGCAGGUGUAAGAGACAGGUCAGGAGUGAGGCAAGAGUCGGUGCACGGGAGAGCAGGCGC